GACGAACGCUGGCGGCGUGCUUAACACAUGCAAGUCGAACGGAAAGGCCUGCUUUCCCUUGUGGAUUGCGGGUACUCGAGUGGCGAACGGGUGAGUAACACGUGAGUGAUCUGCCCCCAACUUGGGUAUAAGCCUGGGAAACUGGGUCUAAUUCCCGAUAGGACUGCAGGGUGGUGCCUGUGGUGGAAAACGAUUUUCUAGUGGUUGGGGAUGAGCUCGCGGCCUAUCAGCUUGUUGGUGGGGUAAUGGCCUACCAAGGCGGCGACGGGUAGCCGGCCUGGGGGGGGGGCGGGCCACAUUGGGACUGAGGUCCGGCCCGGCACCCAGCGGGGGGCAGGAGUGGGAAAUAGUGCACAAUGGGCGGAAGCCUGAGCGCGGCGCCCGGGGGGGGGGGGCGCGGGCUUGGGGUUUGAAACUCUUUUGGACGGGGAGGAAGCCCCCUGGUUGGAAGGGGGGGAAGGGUAGUGGUAGAAGAAGCCCCGGCCAACUCCGU
rnacentral:rRNA from 1 species